rnacentral:rRNA from 3 species
AAAACGACUCUCGGCAACGGAUAUCUCGGCUCACGCAUCGAUGAAGAACGUAGCAAAAUGCGAUACUUGGUGUGAAUUGCAGAAUCCCGUGAACCAUCGAGUUUUUGAACGCAAGUUGCGCCCGAAGCCAUCUGGUUGAGGGCACGUCUGCCUGGGCGUCACG